CCUACGGGAGGCAGCAGUGGGGAAUAUUGCACAAUGGGGGAAACCCUGAUGCAGCGACGCCGCGUGAGUGAUGAAGGAUUUCGGUAUGUAAAGCUCUAUCAGCAGGGAAGAAGAUGACGGUACGUGACUAAGAAGGCGCGGCUAACUACGUGCCAGCAGCCGCGGGAAAACGUAGGGGGCAAGCGUUAUCCGGAUUUACGGGGUGUACCGGGAGCGGAGACGGCGCUGCAAGCCAGAUUUGCAAGCCCGGGGCUCAACCCCGGGACUGCAUUUGGAACUGUGUGGCUGGAGUGUCGGAGAGGCAGGCGGAAUUCCUUGUGUAGCGGUGACAUGCGUAGAUAUUAGGAGGAACACCAGUGGCGAAGGCGGCCUGCUGGACUAUGACUGACGUUGAGGCUCGAAAGCGUGGGUAGCAAACAGGAUUAGAUACCCCAGUAGUC
rnacentral:rRNA from 1 species